CCCCACAACCUCUGAGCAUUCCCUCCCAGGACCCUUGGAGAAAUCUGACUCCCAAACAGGUGAGGAAGAUGAAAGUCAGAAUUCUAUGGAGUCACAUGUGAAUUUAUGGG